rnacentral:lncRNA from 1 species
AUGCAAGCCUGCUUCCAGGUAUUUGCCCCUUUGUACUCCUUUCCCACGCUUGGAGGCAUCUGUCCUCGCUUUUCCGAGAAAAAACAAAAUAAAAGCGAUGUGCGGGGGAUUCAGCGGCGGCUGCUCUCCCUUGCAGAGGCAGCCCUGCACUGCCGCUCCGAUGGGUGUCUGAGAACCUUGUUUCAGCGCAAGACGACAUUUGGGAUGUCUUCAGGGCUCGAUAGAGUCCUCAUCCACAGGUCACUCCUCAAGCCCGCGAAAGGGAAAGGACAUCUGCUUAUCCAGCCUGGGCCUACACCGCUGCCAGCACCAUGAAGGACGAGGUGGCUCUUCUGGCUACUGUCACCCUCCUGGGAGUCCUGCUGCAAGGUGAGCUGGCUCCUGUUUUGGGAGCUGGGUGGGCCCUGGACUCCUGCAGCCUGCUUUCUGCCCUCCAGGCCCUGGGGAGGGGCUGGAGGGCCCCUAGCCCAGACUCCUGGGGCCCCAACUCUCUGGCCCCAGCUGAAGGCUGAGAAGCUAGCCCUGUUCUGGCGGUGGGUCCAGAAGACGGGCAGCCGUGGGCCUGGUGCAGCCCUGCUCCAGCUGAUCCCGCCCGCUCCCACUGUCCUCUUUCUGGGGGUUCCAGCAGGACCCAGCUCUGCCUUCAAAGGCAUCCUCUCUGUGCUGGGAUCCACAUGGAGCUGGACAGGGUUGGAACCUGCUCCCCGAGCCCCCAAAGGUGCCUGUGUGGUGGCCUUUUAGACCGGCCCUAGAGGACACAUUCCCAGGCUAGGUAUCCUUGCCACUUGGGCCAUAGUUACCACACCCUGCAGGGGCUAGGACAAGACACAGCCUGGGCAGGGGCCCUGUGGGGGCUGACUUGAUCUCCUGCUGCCCGAGCAAGCUUGGCUCUCAGCCCCUCCUUGUGUAGCCACAGGGCCCCCUUCUAGGUCCUACACUGAUGGUACACAUGCCCUUGGCCCCCACAGGGCACCUAGGAAGGGAUAUGGCCCCAAGGGCACCAGGGCCACAGGACUUGCUGGAAGGCAGCUGGAGACAGCCAGUACUGGGGCUGAGUGGGUGAUGGGGGCCUGACCUGAGGCCAAGAGAAAGGCCCCUGUGCAUUUAGAUUCUCUGGGGCCAGCCCACCCUCCACACCCACCCAUGCUGGCAUGGCCCGGGUGGGACUAGAAGAGUCCCAACAGCAACCACCUGGGGGUAGGGGAGGGGUGUCAGAUAUAGCUCGGGUCCCAAACACCUGACCAGAGAAACUAAGGCAGGAGCGCAUACCACAGUUUGGAGGCACAGGCUCGAGUGAUCCUGGCCUGAUGGGGGG